GGGGAUAGAGCUUAGUAGUAGAGCACUCAUCUAGCAUGUGUGAGGCGCUGGGUUCAAUCCUCAGUACCACUU
rnacentral:tRNA from 1 species